GGGUCAGCAGAUAGCGCUGGCAGGGGUACCCUCUGUCUCCGAGUAGAUAACCAUCAAACUCUCCUAUGAUAAUACAAGAUACACUUUAUUGUUUCAGUUGUAAUAGGAGGAAACAAAAUAUUGAUCAUAGGAUAUAACUAUAUACUGGAUAUAUAAACUAUAUAUAUAUAAACUCACCACGGGCAAAUCUGGCACUCAGUGUAGAUUCACGAAACAUUCGUGAGUCAUACACAGACCCAGGCCACUUCGCUUCCACAUUAUUUAUCAUGUGGGCUGCGUCACAUAUGAUCUUCACAGUGGAGAUAUAUAAAAUAUAUCAAAUUGACUGAUUAGUGCUUAAAGUCUCAAAGCUUUAUGACAUAAAUGAAUUACUGCUUAGACUGAUACCUGCAAUUGACCUUUCGCAAAAGCCCCGCCCCCCUUAGUUACCGUUGCUAGCCCGACAAGCUUCUUGACGCCGACGGAGUGUCAACACAGUGUCAUGUAAAAAUAUAGCGGUGCGUGUCAGUGACUCUUUUUGGAGCAAUACUUGUGCGAUAUCCUCCAGAUCGAGGCAAAAGGGGUUACAGUAUGCAGUGGAGGGAUACAUUAAAAACAUUAAAAUAAACAAAGAAGGGGACACUACGACUGUCGAGGCGAAAGCGUACCGGUCAAUGGCAAAAUCGGAGAAACCCCAUGAUCUCUACCUCACAUGCAACGAGCACAGCCUUUUGGACCAGUUAUGCUCUUGCACUGCCGGGUAAGUUCAGGACAAUUGUAUACUUCAGGAGGAUUUUGACUGAAAUAUUUAAAUUAGUUAGAUAGCUAGUCAACAUCCUUUCAACUAUCCUUUCUAGCAAGAAGCAACGUCAUCAGAGUCUAGCUUGUUACAAUAUGUUGUUACAACAUGGAUGUAAGGUUACAUGUCAAGGCACUCUAAUAUUGCAGUGACUAGCUAACAGUUCACCAGGUUUUUGCUCUCACAUUGUGGGCCUUAUGUACACCCUGGACCUGUGCCGUGCCAGACAUAAUGACAUCUCCUCCACAAGCCAGCCUCAGCAGUGGCACAAAGCCAGGGGUAAAAAAAUAACUGGACAACCUGUGAGCAGUGUGGUGGUAGCCAAGGCCAAAGUCAACCGCAAGCGGAAACCCAUCAUGUCCAGCUAUAUCCACAAUAACUGCCACUUGUUUGCCAAGUUGGAGAGUCUUCUGUUGAUCCUGGAGUAACUCCUGUCAGCCAACCAGAUGACCUGCCCAACUUUCCUCUGCCAUCCCAACCCACCAGCUUCUGC
rnacentral:lncRNA from 1 species